rnacentral:rRNA from 1 species
GAAAGCCAUCUCAGUUCGGAUUGUAGGCUGCAACUCGCCUACAUGAAGUUGGAAUCGCUAGUAAUCGCGAAUCAGAAUGUCGCGGUGAAUACGUUCCCGGGUCUUGUACACACCGCCCGUCACACCACGAGAGUUUACAACACCCGAAGUCCGUAGCCUAACCGCAAGGGGGGCGCGGCCGAAGGUGGGUUCGAUAAUUGGGGUGAAGUCGUAACAAGGUAAC